AUCCCUAGGCUACUGUUAAGUGGGCUCUUGUGUAAUCCCAUCCUUUCAAAUCUGGGUUGGCUCCAUGAUUCUAUUUUGAGCAAUAGAAUGCAGCAGCUAAGCAGUGAAGACCAAUAGAGCACAGCAACAAGCAGUGAAGAACAAUAGAACACAGCGACAGGCAGUAAGGACCAGGAGAACAGAGCAACUUGCUGUGGAGACCAGUAGGACACAGCGACAAGCAGUGAGGACAAGUAGAACACAGCGACAGGCAGUGAGGACCAGGAGAACAGAGCAACUAGCAGUGAGGACCAGGAGAAGAGAGCAACUAGCUGUGGAGACCAGUAGGACACAGCGACAAGCAGUGAGGACCAGCAGAACACAGCAGCAAGCGGUGAAGUCUUGCAGCUUCUGCCUGUCCCACAGCACCAGCUGCCCUUCAGUUGAUGGUGAAUAGAGAUCUGAUUAGCAUCAUUCAAUGGCUGUCAGGAAUUUUGAUGAAAGACUAGAUGUCACUGCUUUUGUGGAUAAUAAUUUUUAGAAGCACCUGUUUCUUCAGUGAACGAGGAAAUGACCUUCUAGCAGGCUAGGCCUGCGACUCCCGGACUUCAGCGUGAGGAUCUUCCAUGGAAAUCCCACUAUGAAUGGCAGUAAGACUUGAUCCUCACCUGUGGUUCUCCUGAGUUCAGUAGAGAGAAGCAAGUAGCCCCAACAGAUGCAGCAGAACAUGUUAGAGGUCAGAUAAUAAAGAGGACGUCCACCCCUCUCCACCCAAGAAAACUAAUCAGAACAACAAAAUACCCAAGGUGCAGCUGGCAGAGUGCAAACCUGGAGCUGCUGGUGGCCUUCCUGCCACUUGAAGAGACCCUGGGAAUGGAGCCAACACAGGGACAUGCAGAGAGACAAACUUCUGACAAUAACACUUAAAUACUUGGAUGCUGUCAUUUCUGAAGCUUCUGACAAUAACACUUAAAUACUUGGAUUCUGUCAUUUCUGAAGCUGUGUUGAUUCCUGUGCUAUUCAUUUUGUAAGUCAGAAAAGUCUCUUUUAUUUUUAAAUGAGUUUGGGUUAGCUUUUAAUUAGUUGUAAACAUAAGGAUUCUGACUAAAGUAGUCACCAAAUGAGAA
rnacentral:lncRNA from 1 species